rnacentral:rRNA from 1 species
AUUGAAAGCUGGCGGCAGGCCUAACCCAUGCAAGUCGAGCGAGCGGCGGACGGGUGAGUAAUGUAUGGGGACUGCCCGAUAGAGGGGGAUAACUACUGGAAACGGUGGCUAAUACCGCAUACUAUCGGAUAACCCAUAUGGGAUUAGAUAGUAGGUGGGGUAAAGACUCACCUAGGCGACGAUCUCUAGCUGGUCUGAGAGGAUGAUCAGCCGCACUGGGACUGUGACACGGCCCAGAAUCCUACGGAGACAGCAGUGGGGAAUUUUGCACGAUGGGCGCAAGCCUGAUGCAGCCAUGCCGCGUGUAUGAAGAAGGCCUUAGGGUUGUAAAGUACUUUCAGCGGGAAGGCGUUACCCGCAGAAGGAACACCGGCUAACUCCGUGCCGACAGCCGCGGUAAUAC